rnacentral:lncRNA from 1 species
UUCAUUUGUUUGUUUUGUUUUUGGCUGCUCAUUGCUGCUCAAAAACCCAGGUAUGUUCGGUACAGAAUCCCAGUGCUGCCAGCACCAAGAUGCACUGGAGAGGCACCUGGGCAUGCGCCAGACAUCCACAAGGUUCACGCAGGGACCACUGAGGACUAGCCAAACAGAGCACCUCUCAGAAACUCUCCCACCUCAACACAAUCGAACAGGAAAGCCAACAGGACAGCGAACGAACGAGGUCCAUGAAGAGACUCCGUUGCGAGUAGCUCUUACCACGUUAUCAACACCGAAUCAACAAGAAAGUGAAUGGUUGGUUACCCUGGGGCAGAAGCCGGAAGAGCCCAGAGCGAGAGAAUCAGACAUACUUCUAAAAUAAUCAGACAUACUUCUAAAAUAAUCUGUAGGCUCGAUUUUAGAGAAAUGGGUUGCUCAGCUGUCUCCCACAGCCUAUGGACUGUAUUUUGUAUAAGAUGCACAUUAUUGAGACAGACAUCUAUAAGGGAAAUGCCGGAGCCACGUGGCUCUAAAAUCUUAGACCUCCAGGAUGUUAAUUGGAAAUGUGGACUUUACAGAGGUGACUCAUCUUGAGUCAGGAUGGAUUUAGGUGGGCCCCCUGAAUCUAAUCAGUGUUUUCCUUGUAAGAAAUGCAAUGCUAUAUGGGCAAGAAGCCAUGGGUAAAACAAGCCAAAGAGUGAAGGCCGGAAGUCUCUUGAUACCCUAAAACCAUGUUGGGUUUGGAUUUCUGGUCUCUAGGACUGUAAAAGAAUACAUUCGUACUGUGUU